CAGCCGUAAACUAUGCGCGUUAGGUGUACUGGUGACCACGAGUCACCGGGGUGCCGAAGGGAAACCGUGAAACGUGCCGCCUGGAAGUACGGUCGCAAGGCUGAAACUUAAAGGAAUUGGCGGGGGAGCACCACAACGGGUGGGAGCCUGCGGUUUAAUUGGACUCAACGCCGGAAAUCUCACCGGAUAGGACAGACAUAUGAUAGUCGGGCUGAAGACUCUACUUGAUGAUCUGAGAGGAGGUGCAUGGCGUCAGUGACU
rnacentral:rRNA from 1 species